AGAAGGGCAUUAAACGUUUCAAGUUACAUUGACAACUUUAGGAUUGUUUUAAAGGACUCCCAUCCAUACUGUUGCAGCACUGUACCAGACAGCACACUAUUCAGAACUGAGAAUCAGUGCAGUUCCUCCUGUACAGAGCUGCACUGAAUGGAGCAGAACUGGCACAAACCUAGAACAAUGAGAGUUAAGCCAGGUCCUGUCAGUGGGAUGGUGGUCCUGUUUGCAAGAGAGGAAACUCGCUGAGUGGUUAAGGAGAAUGUUUACAGUGGCGUCACAGUGAUCUGCUUGGCCUAUCAGUCCUCCAAGUGGCAGAAGUGUUAAAAAACCAUAGCA